rnacentral:rRNA from 1 species
UUUAUGGAGAGUUUGAUCCUGGCUCAGGAUGAACGCUGGCGGCGUGCCUAAUACAUGCAAGUCGAGCGAACAGACAAGGAGCUUGCUCCUUUGACGUUAGCGGCGGACGGGUGAGUAACACGUGGGUAACCUACCUAUAAGACUGGGAUAACUUCGGGAAACCGGAGCUAAUACCGGAUAAUAUUUCGAACCGCAUGGUUCG